GAACGCUGGCGGCGUGCUUAACACAUGCAAGUCGAACGAUGAACCGCUUUCGGGCGGGGAUUAGUGGCGAACGGGUGAGUAACACGUGGGCAAUCUGCCCUGCACUCUGGGACAAGCCCUGGAAACGGGGUCUAAUACCGGAUAUGACCGUCUGCCGCAUGGUGGAUGGUGUAAAGCUCCGGCGGUGCAGGAUGAGCCCGCGGCCUAUCAGCUUGUUGGUGAGGUAGUGGCUCACCAAGGCGACGACGGGUAGCCGGCCUGAGAGGGCGACCGGCCACACUGGGACUGAGACACGGCCCAGACUCCUACGGGAGGCAGCAGUGGGGAAUAUUGCACAAUGGGCGAAAGCCUGAUGCAGCGACGCCGCGUGAGGGAUGACGGCCUUCGGGUUGUAAACCUCUUUCAGCAGGGAAGAAGCGAAAGUGACGGUACCUGCAGAAGAAGCGCCGGCUAACUACGUGCCAGCAGCCGCGGUAAUACGUAGGGCGCAAGCGUUGUCCGGAAUUAUUGGGCGUAAAGAGCUCGUAGGCGGCUUGUCACGUCGGUUGUGAAAGCCCGGGGCUUAACCCCGGGUCUGCAGUCGAUACGGGCAGGCUAGAGUUCGGUAGGGGAGAUCGGAAUUCCUGGUGUAGCGGUGAAAUGCGCAGAUAUCAGGAGGAACACCGGUGGCGA
rnacentral:rRNA from 1 species